UCCGGUUUGGCACCGGCAGUCUCCAAUGAGUCCCCGGCAUUACCCGCUGGCAACAUUGGACAGGGGUUGCGCUCGUUGCGCCACUUAAGGCAACACCUCACGGCACGAGCUGACGACAGCCAUGCAGCACCUGUGCAGGCUCCCGAAGGAGCACCGGCUUUCACCGGUUUCACCCUGCAUGUCAAGCCCAGGUAAGGUUCUUCGCGUUGCAUCGAAUUAAUCCGCAUGCUCCGCCGCUUGUGCGGGCCGGACUGCCCCUUUGGGGAGGAAGGUGGGGAUGACGUCGGUCAGUCAA
rnacentral:misc_RNA from 1 species